AGAGCGAACGCUGGCGGCAGGCCUAACACAUGCAAGUCGAGCGCGUGUAGCAAUACACGAGCGGCAGACGGGAGAGUAACACGUGGGAACGCGCCCUUCGGUUCGGAAUAACUCAGUGAAACUUGAGCUAAUACCGGAUACGCCCUUACGGGGAAAGAUUUAUUGCCGAAGGAACGGCCCGCGUCCGAUUAGCUAGUUGGUGAGGUAACGGCUCACCAAGGCGACGAUCGGUAGCUGGUCUGAGAGGAUGACCAGCCUCACUGGGACUGAGACACGGCCCAGACUCCUACGGGAGGCAGCAGUGGGGAAUAUUGGACAAUGGGCGCAAGCCUGAUCCAGCCAUGCCGCGUGGAUGAUGAAGGCCUUAGGGUUGUAAAGUCCUUUUAACGGGGAGAUAAUGACGGUACCCGUAGAAUAAGCCCCGGCUAACUUCGCGCCAGCAGCCGC
rnacentral:rRNA from 1 species